GAUGAACGCUGGCGGCGUGCCUAAUACAUGCAAGUCGAACGCACAGCGAAAGGUGCUUGCACCUUUCAAGUGAGUGGCGAACGGGUGAGUAACACGUGGACAACCUGCCUCAAGGCUGGGGAUAACAUUUGGAAACAGAUGCUAAUACCGAAUAAAACUCAGUGUCGCAUGACACAAAGUUAAAAGGCGCUUUGGCGUCACCUAGAGAUGGAUCCGCGGUGCAUUAGUUAGUUGGUGGGGUAAAGGCCUACCAAGACAAUGAUGCAUAGCCGAGUUGAGAGCCUGAGCGGCCACAUUGGGACCGAGACACGGCCCAAACUCCUACGGGAGGCUGCAGUAGGGAAUCUUCCACAAUGGGCGAAAGCCUGAUGGAGCAACGCCGCGUGUGUGAUGAAGGCUUUCGGGUCGUAAAGCACUGUUGUAUGGGAAGAACAGCUAGAAUAGGGAAUGAUUUUAGUUUGACGGUACCAUACCAGAAAGGGACGGCUAAAUACGUGCCAGCAGCCGCCGUAA
rnacentral:rRNA from 1 species